GAGAUUAGUGUUAACAGAAAGUAGUAAUAACAGUAACAGUAAGUAUUGGAUUAGGUAUUUUUAGUGGUAAAGAUUAAGCAGUAGAAAAGCAAGCAAGAACAUGCAUAAUGCUGAGUAAAAGAGAACACUAUCAGGAAAAAAUAAUUUAUUUUUAAAUAUGCCUCCAAAUAGCCAUGUAAUAUUAGCACAUCCUUUCCACUCAGGUCAUGGCUGCAUUAAGGUUCCUGUGGGCCCUCCAGUGGGUUUAAAUAUAUGCUUUAAGUUAUGUAAACACCAUCCAAUCCUAUUUGCAUCGUCACUCUAUGACAUGAAAUGCUAUAAUGACCUCCUUUUAGUUUGUCCAGUGCUAUGUAUAAAGCAGGCUUAGGUGCUUUUAUUGUUAAGGAGGUCAACUCUCUUAAUGAGCUUUAGGCAUUCCCAGAGAGUCUUUCAAUAUUGCAAGACAUACCUGGCCCCAGGCAGGACAGUUAUGGCUCUGCCAACACCUAAGUGGUGCAGACAGAUCCCAUGUGACAGGUUAUGUAACUGAGCUGGGCUUUAUAUGCCCUGGGACCUAAAGCGUGUAAAGGGCUCGAGGGAGAAGAGCAUCAGGUGAGGAAAAGGUGUUUGCAUACUGUGCUUCUUGGGGUGCUUUUGGCAUUGUAGCAAACAAUAUUAGGCUUAAUGUUAUGCUUCAUUAAGAGGUCAACUUGUAAGAAAUCCAUGGGAUUUAGUAAUGAUUUGUGUGUUCUAGAAUUGCAGGGGCUGAAAUUCUACAAAGACUCAGAAAUCAUGAUGAUUCCUCUCCGGAGAAUGACACCUGGGUAUAUAAGGUUGUUGCAGACUCAAGCUGCAGCAAAAAUUGUUAUCAACCCAUCAGACACAGCGCUGCAACGGGCGGCAUUCCUCCUGGGAGUGUUUGGGAUCAGUAUAUCCAGCUACAGCACACACCAGCUAACUCAAACAAAGAGAUUUCCCUUGACCCCUUGAGCUGUGUUGGGAUGUGAUCCAGGAAGUCCAGGAUUAUGUCAGUACUGCUGAUGAGUGGCUUUUCUGCCUCAGUUACCAGUGUGGAGGUAACGAGACACUUUGCAUUCGUGACUUCUACAUGCAAAGUUAAAAAGAUGGAAGAAUGACAGACAUCUUUAAGAAAGAAAAAAAAAAUAACUGCUAUCAGAAUCAUCAGAUUUCCAAAUAACAAAAACUGUCUGUAAAUACAAUGGACUUCUUUUGUUAUCCAGUGUAUACAUAGAGAUCUAAAGGUAUAAAAAUGCAGUUACAUUCGGAGUAGGUGUAAACAGAUUGAUGGGGAUGCUGUGCUUUGGGAGAGUUGCACUGCAUUGCAGCUUUUGCAAAUUGACUCUGAUGCAAAGACUGGUUUGGAAAAGAAGUUAAAGGCAACAUAUUCCUCAAGACAAGAGUUAGAACAAAUUAAUCUCCCAUUGACUCUUUUCACUAUUCUAUCUAACUAGAUAGGUACAUUUGUGUGUAUUACAGAAUUUGUGCGCUCUAGCCUUUUUUAUUGAAUCUUAAACAUUUCUGGAUGCCUUUUGAGUAGCAAUGUCUGUGUAUUGUAACACAAGCUGCUAGCCUUCUGCCACAGCAGAAAUGGCCACAGGCUACACCAACCAUAUGGUGCUGGGAAACGCCCAUGGCUCCAGACCAGAUAACUUCCUAACUCUGUACGGUAACUCUCUGUUCUAGAAAGUAUCAGUAAAAAUACUGUGUUGGGUUUUACUGUGAAGUUCAAUAUCUGACCAAAUUCCUCUGCAAAGCCAACUCAUCUCAUAAUAUACGUUCUGAUUAAAAUAAAAAUAGAGACUGACCUUU